GGGUGUAUGGUCUAGUGGUAUGAUUUUCGCUUCGCAUUACGUCCUCCCUCUGUAUGCCCUGUGAAAGGUCCCCGGUUCAAUCCCGGGUGCAUCCA